rnacentral:tRNA from 1 species
UUUAUCUUGGUGUAAAGCACAUAAAAUUUUGAUUUUUAAGGGAGUAUAAACUAGAUAAAU